GGUAAUGUCUACUGCACCUUUAUCACCGUAGGCACUCGGUCACACUGUGGGUCUUAAAGGACCUUAGACAUGAUUGUCGAGGGUGUGAUGUGAGGGUGGGUUCAAUGCCC
rnacentral:ncRNA from 1 species